AGAGUUUGAUCCUGGCUCAGGAUGAACGCUGGCGGCGUGCUUAACACAUGCAAGUCGAACGAACCUUCGGGUUAGUGGCGGACGGGUGAGUAACGCGUGAGAAUCUGCCCUCAGGAGGGGGAUAACGGUUGGAAACGACCGCUAAUACCCCAUAUGCCGAUAGGUGAAAUGAAUUUCGCCUGAGGAUGAGCUCGCGUCUGAUUAGCUAGUUGGUGAGGUAAUGGCUCACCAAGGCUUCGAUCAGUAGCUGGUCUGAGAGGAUGAUCAGCCACACUGGGACUGAGACACGGCCCAGACUCCUACGGGAGGCAGCAGUGGGGAAUUUUCCGCAAUGGGCGAAAGCCUGACGGAGCAACGCCGCGUGAGGGACGAAGGCCUCUGGGCUGUAAACCUCUUUUCUCAAGGAAGAAGAUAUGACGGUACUUGAGGAAUAAGCCACGGCUAAUUCCGUGCCAGCAGCCGCGGUAAUACGGGAGUGGCAAGCGUUAUCCGGAAUUAUUGGGCGUAAAGCGUCCGCAGGCGGCCUUUCAAGUCUGCUGUUAAAGCGUGGAGCUUAACUCCAUUAUGGCAGUGGAAACUGAUCGGCUUGAGUAUGGUAGGGGCAGAGGGAAUUCCCGGUGUAGCGGUGAAAUGCGUAGAUAUCGGGAAGAACACCAGUGGCGAAGGCGCUCUGCUGGGCCAUUACUGACGCUCAUGGACGAAAGCCAGGGGAGCGAAAGGGAUUAGAUACCCCUGUAGUCCUGGCCGUAAACGAUGAACACUAGGUGUCGGGGGAAUCGACCCCUUCGGUGUCGUAGCUAACGCGUUAAGUGUUCCGCCUGGGGAGUACGCACGCAAGUGUGAAACUCAAAGGAAUUGACGGGGGCCCGCACAAGCGGUGGAGUAUGUGGUUUAAUUCGAUGCAACGCGAAGAACCUUACCAGGGUUUGACAUCCUGAGAACCUCUUAGAAAUUUGAGGGUGCCUUCGGGAAUUCAGUGACAGGUGGUGCAUGGCUGUCGUCAGCUCGUGUCGUGAGAUGUUGGGUUAAGUCCCGCAACGAGCGCAACCCACGUUUUUAGUUGCCAGCAUUUAGUUGGGCACUCUAGAAAGACCGCCGGUGAUAAACCGGAGGAAGGUGUGGAUGACGUCAAGUCAUCAUGCCCCUUACACCCUGGGCUACACACGUACUACAAUGCUACGGACAAAGGGCAGCAAACUCGCGAGAGCUAGCAAAUCCCAUAAACCGUGGCUCAGUUCAGAUCGUAGGCUGCAACUCGCCUACGUGAAGUAGGAAUCGCUAGUAAUCGCAGGUCAGCAUACUGCGGUGAAUACGUUCCCGGGCCUUGUACACACCGCCCGUCACACCAUGGAAGUUGGCCAUGCCCGAAGUCGUUACUCCAACCCUUGUGGAGGAGGACGCCGAAGGUGGGGCUAAUGACUGGGGUGAAGUCGUAACAAGGUAGCCGUACCGGAAGGUGCGGCUG
rnacentral:rRNA from 1 species